UCUGUAGCAAGGUUAACCGUAUAGGGGAGCCGUAGGGAAACCGAGUCUUAACCGGGCGUUAAGUUGCAGGGUAUAGACCCGAAACCCGGUGAUCUAGCCAUGGGCAGGUUGAAGGUUGGGUAACACUAACUGGAGGACCGAACCGACUAAUGUUGAAAAAUUAGCGGAUGACCUGUGGCUGGGGGUGAAAGGCCAAUCAAACCGGGAGAUAGCUGGUUCUCCCCGAAAGCUAUUUAGGUAGCGCCUCGUGAAUUCAUCUCCGGGGGUAGAGCACUGUUUCGGCUAGGGGGCCAUCCCGGCUUACCAACCCGAUGCAAACUGCGAAUACCGGAGAAUGUUAUCACGGGAGACACACGGCGGGUGCUAACGUCCGUCGUGAAGAGGGAAACAACCCAGACCGCCAGCUAAGGUCCCAAAGUCAUGGUUAAGUGGGAAACGAUGUGGGAAGGCCCAGACAGCCAGGAUGUUGGCUUAGAAGCAGCCAUCAUUUAAAGAAAGCGUAAUAGCUCACUGGUCGAGUCGGCCUGCGCGGAAGAUGUAACGGGGCUAAACCAUGCACCGAAGCUGCGGCAGCGAACGUAUCACCCAAGACAACUUUACGGAGUUGACGAUUGACGGAGCGAAGCGACGUCAAAGCGUUCAUUAAAGUCGAGUUGGCUUAGGGAUACGUUCGUUGGGUAGGGGAGCGUUCUGUAAGCCUGUGAAGGUGUGUCGUGAGGCAUGCUGGAGGUAUCAGAAGUGCGAAUGCUGACAUAAGUAACGAUAAAGCGGGUGAAAAGCCCGCUCGCCGGAAGACCAAGGGUUCCUGUCCAACGUUAAUCGGGGCAGGGUGAGUCGACCCCUAAGGCGAGGCCGAAAGGCGUAGUCGAUGGGAAACGGGUUAAUAUUCCCGUACUUGGUGUUACUGCGAAGGGGGGACGGAGAAGGCUAUGUUGGCCGGGCGACGGUUGUCCCGGUUUAAGCGUGUAGGUGUGUGUUCCAGGUAAAUCCGGUUCACUUUAACACUGAGGCGUGACGACGAGGCACUACGGUGCUGAAGCAACAAAUGCCCUGCUUCCAGGAAAAGCCUCUAAGCAUCAGGUA
rnacentral:rRNA from 1 species